CCGAGGCCGACCGAGGCCGACCGAGGCCGACCGAGGCCAUCCGAGGCCGACCGAGGCCGACCGAGGCCAUCCGAGGCCGACCGAGGCCAACCGAGGCGCCGCGGGGCUGCCGUAUCGUUCCGCCUGGGCGGGAUUCUGACUUAAGAGGCGUUCAGUCAUAAUCCCACAGAUGGUAGCUUCGCCCCAUUGGCUCCUCAGCCAAU
rnacentral:lncRNA from 1 species